GUGUCGGAUGCGCUGGAGUUCGGCAGUACCGUCUCCUGCCGCCGAGCCGCCUCCAAGUCUACGCCUCCUGCGCCGCCCCGGAACCAAGGCUCUGCCUGCCCUCCAGGUUCCUGCACAUCUUCUGAGGGGACCCCAGGAGACCAGCCUCAUGGAACCAGGAGUGAAAGUCUAGUCAUACCUAAAACUGGAGUUGCUGCAUUAUUCACAGGUAAUCAGCUUUACUUUGAAGACCUCCAGGGACAGGGAACUCACUUAUCUACUCAGGUAACCCCUUCCAUUUGUGGUUCUCUCUAGUUGUAUUGUGCUAGGAAGUUUCUCCCUCUAACACUUGGUCCCAGUUCAUAGAACUUGUUCUUAUAGAACCAGACCUCUUCUUUUAUGUUUUCAGUGAUGUAUAGUUACUUCCAUCUUUUCAUUUGUGCAGAGUAUCUGUAACCCCCGUAGGAUAUCAUGUCCAUCACUGUCCUCUGUGCUUCUGCUCAACUAAUGUGUUUCUGUACCCUCUAGGGUACAGCUAUGAAGGGACUCCAACCCUGACAGAGACCUCCAGAAAGCGGCUGACUCAAAAAAAUUCUCUCCUUUGUGCCAGCUCUGUGAUCUCCACUAGAAAUUUGUCAUCCUUUUUUUUCCCUGUGUUCUCUCCCAUGGCUGUAUU
rnacentral:lncRNA from 1 species